GCUCUGCAAAGUGGGCCAACCCUCAGGACACAGCUCUGGGUAACAGAAAUGUGAGGAGAGAACUUUCUGAUUGCCCAGAUCUGAGAACACCAAGAUGCUCAAAGUGCCUCCUGUUCUCAGCUCCCACUACAGCAAAAUCCUUGCUUCCAUUUGUGCACAUGAUUAAGAUGCUUCGUGGACCAAGAGAUCCUAGAAGGCCUCUUGCGGCUGCUGAAUUGAGUUUGUUCUUGAUCUUCUGCUAUCAAAACCACAGAGCCAGGAAGAUCUAACACCAAGACACAGCUGCCACACACCCAGGAAAGAGGUGGGUUCAUGUAUCUGAGCCUCAAGGACCUCAUCAGAAAUAGAAGAUGGCAAAAAAUUGUUGUACCCAGGGGGACUGCUUAACUAAAAACAUUAUUUUGUGUACGUGGUGAAGAGGCAUGCAAAUGUUAGUAAUUACCCGCUUUGCUCUGAGUGUAUAGACAUCCUCACAGCUUCAUGACUGGACAUGACAAAUCUCCAGGGCUUGGGCUGGCCUGAUCUUGAUUAAUGUUAUUCAUAAAAAUAUUCAUCCAUCAGGGUUUCCAUUUGUAGCAUUUAGUUGUGCCAAGUAACAGACAGAGCCAGUGGUUUCUUAAAAU
rnacentral:lncRNA from 1 species